rnacentral:rRNA from 1 species
UACGGAGGGAGCUAGCGUUGUUCGGAAUUACUGGGCGUAAAGCGCACGUAGGCGGCUAUUCAAGUCGGGGGGGAAAGCCCGGGGCUCAACCCCGGAACUGCCCUCGAAACUAGAUAGCUAGAAUCUUGGAGAGGCGAGUGGAAUUCCGAGUGUAGAGGUGAAAUUCGUAGAUAUUCGGAAGAACACCAGUGGCGAAGGCGACUCGCUGGACAAGUAUUGACGCUGAGGUGCGAAAGCGUGGGGAGCAAACAGG